GACGUAGGGUGCAAGCGUUGUCCGGAUUUAUUGGGCGUAAAGAGCUCGUAGGCGGCUUGUUGCGUCGACUGUGAAAACCCGCGGCUUAACCGCGGGCUUGCAGUUGAUACGGGCAGGCUAGAGUUCGGUAGGGGAGACUGGAAUUCCUGGUGUAGCGGUGAAAUGCGCAGAUAUCAGGAGGAACACCGGUGGCGAAGGCGGCUCACUGGACCGGUACUGACGCUGAUGCGCGAAAGCGUGGGGAGCAAACGGG
rnacentral:rRNA from 1 species